rnacentral:tRNA from 1 species
UCCCUGGUGGUCCAGUGUUAGGACUUGGCACUUUCACUGUGGUGGCCCAGGGUUCAAUACCUGGCUGGAGAA